GACGAACGCUGGCGGCGUGCCUAACACAUGCAAGUCGAACGGAGAAUUAGCAAUAAUUCUUAGUGGCGAACGGGUGAGUAACGCGUAGACAACCUACCCUUUAGAUGGGGACAACACCGCGAAAGUGGUGCUAAUACCGAAUAUUGCUUGAGAAGCGCAUGCUUUUCAAACUAAAGAUGGCCUCUAUUUAUAAGCUAUCGCUAAAGAAUGGGUCUGCGUCUGAUUAGCUAGUUGGUGAGAUAAAAGCUCACCAAGGCAACGAUCAGUAGCCGGUCUGAGAGGAUGAACGGCCACACUGGGACUGAGACACGGCCCAGACUCCUACGGGAGGCAGCAGUGGGGAAUCUUCCGCAAUGGACGAAAGUCUGACGGAGCAACGCCGCGUGAGUGAUGAAGGUUUUCGGAUCGUAAAACUCUGUUGUUAAGGACGAAUGUAUAGAUUGUGAAUAAUGGUUUAUAAUGACGGUACUUAACGAGGAAGCCACGGCUAACUACGUGCCAGCCGCCGCGGUAA
rnacentral:rRNA from 1 species